AUUGAACGCUGGCGGCAGGCCUAACACAUGCAAGUCGAGCGAGCGGCGGACGGGUGAGUAAUGCCUGGUAAUUUCCCAGUCGAGGGGGAUAACAGUUGGAAACGACUGCUAAUACCGCAUACGAUUGGAUUGCCCAGGUGGGAUUAGCUAGUUGGUGAGGUAAGGGCUCACCAAGGCGACGAUCCCUAGCGGGUCUGGGAAGUUGAUCAGCAACACUGGAACUGAGACACGGUCCAGACUCCUACGUGAGGCAGCAGUGGGGAAUAUUGCACAAUGGGUGAAACCCUGAUGCAGCCAUGCCGCGUGUGGGAAGAAGGCCUUCGGGUUGUAAAGCACGGUCAGCGAGGAGGCGUUACUCGCAGAAGAAGCACUGGCUAACGCCGUGCCAGCAGCCGCGGUAAUUC
rnacentral:rRNA from 1 species